rnacentral:tRNA from 1 species
GACCGCAGCUCAGUUGGCAGAGCAUUGGGCUGGUAUUCCAAAGGUCGUAGGUUCGAUUCCCACGGCCGUGGCCA